rnacentral:rRNA from 1 species
UACAGAGGUCUCAAGCGUUGUUCGGAUUCAUUGGGCGUAAAGGGUGCGUAGGCGGCGCGGUAAGUCGGGUGUGAAAUCUUGGAGCUUAACUCCGAAACUGCAUUCGAUACUGCCGUGCUUGAGGACCGGAGAGGAGACUGGAAUUUACGGUGUAGCGGUGAAAUGCGUAGAUAUCGUAAGGAAGACCAGUGGCGAAGGCGGGUCUCUGGACAGUUCCUGACGCUGAGGCACGAAGGCCAGGGGAGCAAACAGG